rnacentral:rRNA from 1 species
CCGGCACAACGGGCACGCCACUGCGCGAGCAGGAGCAAAUCCCUUAAAGCCGGCCCCAGUUCGGAUCGGAGGCUGCAACCCGCCUCCGUGAAGUCGGAGUUGCUAGUAAUCGCGGAUCAGCACGCCGCGGUGAAUGCGUUCCCGGGCCUUGUACACACCGCCCGUCACACCACCCGAGUCGUCUGCACCCGAAGUCGCCGGCCUAACCUCGUGAGGGAGGCGCCGAAGGUGUGGAGGGUAAGGGGGGUGAAGUCGUAACAAGGUAAC